rnacentral:rRNA from 1 species
UACGUAGGGGGCAAGCGUUGUCCGGAUUUAUUGGGCGUAAAGAGCGUGUAGGCGGCUUUACAGGUCCGUUGUGAAAACUCGAGGCUCAACCUCGAGACGCCGGUGGAAACCGUAAGGCUAGAGUCCGGAAGAGGAGAGUGGAAUUCCUGGUGUAGCGGUGAAAUGCGCAGAUAUCAGGAAGAACACCCGUGGCGAAGGCGGCUCUCUGGGACGGUACUGACGCUGAGAAGCGAAAGCAUGGGGAGCGAACAGG